rnacentral:rRNA from 1 species
UACGAAGGGGGCUAGCGUUGCUCGGAAUCACUGGGCGUAAAGGGCGCGUAGGCGGCGUGACAAGUCACUUGUGAAAUCUCCGGGCUUAACUCGGAACGGUCAAGUGAUACUGUUGUGCUAGAGUACAGAAGGGGCAAUCGGAAUUCUUGGUGUAGCGGUGAAAUGCGUAGAUAUCGUCAAGAACACCGAUAGCGAAGGCAGCCAACUAGGGGUUAACUGACGCUGAGGCACGAAAGUGCGGGGAUCAAACAGG